CCUCCCUGACAAUUUUUAAAAGUAGUAAGCCACAUUACAUUUAUCUUUGUAAAAAGAUUUAUGGUAACUGGUUUCUUACUUGACUUUUAUAAAUAGUAUUUUACAUCUUAUUUUUGCCUUUAUUUCAUAAGUAAUUUAAAAAUCACUGGAUUGCUUUAUUAUAUUCAGGGCAAUAUGGAUUAUUUUUAUACCAAGGAUUUGCAUCGUGAAUUACAUUAAGUUAUUUGGCAAUUUAUAAUUUAUUACUACUUUAAAUCAAAUGUAGCAUUAUCACACUGUAUUUAAAUUGUCAUUUUUUAAAGGAAUAUUUUCUUCUUAAGAUAUAUAGAGGAUUUUGGAGAAGAGAGACAGGAGGGGUAAAACCAGCUUAAGGUUCAGCGAGCAGAAAGGGACCUGAGAGGAUGCUCACUGUAAGACUGUUGGACAGUGGUGUGUAUUGAGGGGAUGAAUCGGAACGAUAGUCUCAUGCAGAAAAUAGUGAGAUUAAGAUCAUCCUUAUUGUUUCUAAAUUAUUUCAAUCAGAUGAAAGUGAUACGAUUGAAAUGAAAUCACAUAGUUCGUGCUCAGAAAUUCUAUUUUGGUAUGUUUGUAUUAGCCUUUAGAAAAAACACUCCGUUUCAGAAUUGUUCACAGUUUUAUUUCUUAGGUUUUUAGAGUUCAGGAUUUCAUUUAUUAAUUUCUUCUUGCUUUUUUGGUGGAAAUAGGCUUUGUUGUAAACAUUAAGAAUAUAAAAUCUCCUCUAUAUAGAAACAAGAAUUUUGUUAAAAAGAGAAUUUGAAUCCCUUCCUAUACUAUAAAAUGCUCUAUAGGGAGACAAAGUGUUUCUUUUUUCUUUUAUGUUUACUGUUUAUGUGGAGUGAAAUAUAAGGCUCUUGGAUGUAUAACAUACUCAAAAGCUGUUACACUUUCUCUGAUCUGCUGUGAUCCACUGAAAAUGUGCUGGGGUUUGUUCUGCUGUCACUGUUUAUGCUGCUGGAACUUAGCACUGUCUUGAUUUGAAGCAUAUGAUUGAGAGCCAUUUGAAGCAAUCUUCAUUAAUGCAGAUAAAACAAGUUUACAUGUGCAGAGUUAGAAAAUGACAUGUUCAAUUCUGUAAGUGGUGACUUUUUGAGCACCUUUCAGUAUUAUGUAUUUGUAAAAACCAUUGUUUUUGGAUAUAAAGCUAAUAAGCACUUUAAAAAGGAAAAGGCAGCCUUUACUAUUUUUUCUGGUUGAGUCAUUGCUCUUUAGACCUAGCAUCAGCAAUAGAUUUCAAAGAUAAGUAUUAAGCGCUACCCUAAAGUGUGUAAGUUUUUCAUUUUGUCAUAUUGAAAAAUGAUUUGCAUAGUACUGAAUGUUGACACACAGCUUAUAUGUAUUUACAAGAAUAUCUUUAAGUGUUUUUUUGACACAUUAAAAUAAAGGAAAUAAGGAAAUUGUAAGCUUUAUUUGGAUUUUUAAAUACAUUUUUAAAAUUUCAGAUGUAAUUUAACAUCACAUUUGUUUUUCAGGUAUUGAGUUUAGAUGCCUACUUUUAUGAGUACCAUCAGCUGGACACAGUGUCUCAUACCUGUAUUUGCAGCACUUUGGGAGGCUGAAGCAGAUCGCUGGAGCUUAUGAGUUCGAGACCAGCCUGGACAACAUAGUGAAACACUGUCUCUGCAAAAAAUACAAAAAUUAGCUGGGUAUGGUGAGACAGUGUCUCACUAUGUUGCCCAAGCUGGUCUUGAACUCCUGAGUUCAAGAGAUCCUCCUGCCUUAGCCUCCCAAAGUGCUGGGAUUACAAGCAUAAGCACCACACCUGGCUGAACAUCAGAUAUUUUAAAGUGUAGCCCAGAGUCUAGUUGGUAAAUGUUACUUAUAUUGGGACUAGUAUUUUCUAAUGUUUCUGGGAUAUGCUCCCUAUAAAAUGAAAUGUUUUCCUGGAACAAUGCUAAUUAGGAUUGCAUUCCUGGCCAAAGACAUGACAUCAAAUAAGUAAUAGACAUCACCAGCAAUGAAUUUUGAAAAGCAAAAAAUACUAUUAACCUAUAUAACCAUUUAAAAUUUAAAAAAUUAUGUUCCAAGUACCUCUAUUUUCUGAGCUAGAAGAAACCUUAGAGGCCAUCUGAUGAUAGAUUCCCAGAGCUGGAUGGAUCCCUAGGGACUACCUAAUCUGACUUUCUGUCCACUGCAUGGAUUCUUCUAAAAAGUAUGUCACUUAUUUCCCUACCUUAUUAAGACUAAAUAAGUGGAACAUCAUAGAGCUCUUUAUUUAUAACAGUCAUUCUUUGAUAGUCAACUCUUAAAUGGAGACUUGAGAUGCUUAAAUAUUGUACUACUGUGCUUAUCUUGUAAAGAUUUCAUAAAAUGAUAGUAUUGGUUAUUUUAAAAAGGCUUUGGCUUAUGCUGAAUUAUACAUGUAGCACCAAAAUGUUACAACUCUACUAAAUUUCCUUGUUCUAAACUAUUAUAUUAGCUAUAAUAAAUAUUAGUCAUACAUGUAA
rnacentral:lncRNA from 1 species